ACUUCCUGAGCCGGAACGAAAAGUUUUCAGAAUUGGUGGGAAACUGCUGAUUUCAGAAGGCUUUUGGCUUGUGGUCGUGAUGUUGUGUUUGCAAAUUGAUCUGACGCUUUUCAGAUCGGGUAGCUCAGCUACCGUUUAUUCCUGUAGAUUUACCCUGUCUGUCCAUAGUGAUUUUAACAGCACCGCAAACUGCGGUGCUUUUUUUU
rfam:Pantoea sp. PSNIH2, complete genome.